UCACCCAAACUAAUAUUAAUUGAAUGAGUCUCUCGAUCUUAAAAUUGAAUUACACUGUUAACUUUUUUUUGUUUUGGUAAAAUGUAAAAAUUUAUAAUAGAUUUUUGACUUUUUACAAACGCGGAACUAAAAAAGAGAAACAUAAAUCUAAAAACUAUGCAGCCCUGCAAAAGGCCACAAAAUAUGAAAUGAACGAAAAUAGCUAGAACGUUAUGACAGAAGAAGAGAAGCAAAAACCGUUGAUGUUUUCACGAGUGAACCGCGAUCCGAAGUUAGCCUUUAAAAUAUCAUUAAGAUCGAGUUAGAGAAGGUAAUAGAUGACAAAAAGAGAGUUUGAAAUCUUUUAUUGGACUGUUUAAAAUAAAGAAACAGAGCAAAACAUUUCACGAAACUGAUAUUACCUGAAUGAAUAUCUCGAUCUUAAAAUUGAAUUACAAUCUUAACUUUUUUUUAUUUUGGUAAAAUGUAGAAAAAUUAUAUCAUAGAUGUUUUACAAAACCGGAAAUAAAACAUACAAAAACAUUAUAAAAAAAAACCAGGAAGCAAACAACAGUACUGCAAAAGGCCAGAAAAGAUAAAAUUAACGAAAAUUGCUCGAAAUUCCUGAUGGAAGAUGACACGAGAAAACCUUUGAUGUUGCCACGAGUGAACCGCGAUCAUAACCCAACCCUUAACAUAUCAUUAAGAUCGAGCUAGAGAAGAUAAAAGAUGACAAAAAAAAAAAGAGUUUGAAAUCAAUUUUUGGAAUGUUUAAAAUAGAUAAACAAAACAAAAAAAGUUCAG
rnacentral:lncRNA from 1 species